rnacentral:rRNA from 1 species
UUCCAGACUCCUACGGGAGGCAGCCGUGAGGAAUAUUGGUCAAUGGACGAGCGUCUGAACCAGCCCCUUCUCGUGAAGGCUGCCUGCACUAUGGGUUUUCAACUUCUUUUCUCCAGGAAUAACCCGCGGCACGUGUUCCUUUUUGCAUGUCCUUUCUGAAUAAUGCUCUUCUAACUCCUUGCCCGCAGCCGCGUUCAUACGGAGGCUCCUCUCGUUAUCCGGAUUUAUUGGGUUUAAAGGGAGCGUAGAUGGUGGUUUAAGUCAGGGUGGAAAGUUGGCGGAGCAACCGUAAAAUUGCAAUUGAUACUGGCAGUCUUGAGUACAGUGGAGGUAGGCGGAAUUCGUGGUGUAGCGGUGAAAUUCUUAGAGAGCAAGAAGAACCCCGAUUGCGAAGGCAGCGUACUAAACUGUGACUGACAUUGAUGCUCGAAAGUGUGGGGAUCAAACAGGAUUAGAUACCCCAGUA